UACGUAGGGGGCAAGCGUUGUCCGGAUUCAUUGGGCGUAAAGCGCGUGUAGGCGGCCAGGUAGGUCUGCUGUGAAAACUCGAGGCUCAACCUCGAGACGUCGGCGGAAACCAUCUGGCUAGAGUCCGGAAGAGGAGAGUGGAAUUCCUGGUGUAGCGGUGGAAUGCGCAGAUAUCAGGAAGAACACCCGUGGCGAAAGCGGCUCUCUGGAACGGUACUGACGCUGAGACGCGAAAGCGUGGGGAGCGAACAGG
rnacentral:rRNA from 1 species